rnacentral:rRNA from 1 species
AUGAUGACGAAGAUGGUCCCGCCUGGACUGCAAAACCAGCAGCAGCGCGGUAGCAUAGUACCGCCCCACGGUGGGCGCCAAAUGUCGUGGUAUUCUCACGGGGGGUGUUGCAAGACGACAUAUGCCACAAGGUGGCUUCGUGUGAGGGCAAGACUGCUGCUGGAAUAUCCGGGGACGGGUAUGCGAGUAACACGCGCUAGUUUACCCAGCUUCGGAGCUCUCCGGAGAGAUAAUACUCCUACUGCUGCAUGUCUGAGUGUAUCUAUCUGGGGUGUACAUCGGGCAGUACAAAGUGCUCCUGGAGCUGUAUCUGAGAUCAGUGCCAUAGGCAUCUGGCUUGGUAUAUGUCUCAUAUGUGUAUGUGAGCUAGCUAGUGGCCGGCCAUGCUCAUGGCCGUGA